UACGAAGGGUGCAAGCGUUGCUCGGAAUUAUUGGGCGUAAAGGGUUGGUAGGUGGUCUUGUUUGUCUAAGGUGAAAUCCCAUGGCUUAACUGUGGAAGUGCCUUGGAAACGGCAAGACUAGAGUCCUAGAGGGGUUUGUGGAAUUCCCGGUGUAGCGGUGAAAUGCGUAGAGAUCGGGAGGGACACCAGCGGCGAAGGCGGCAAACUGGAUAGGCACUGACACUCAACAACGAAAGCGUGGGGAGCAAACAGG
rnacentral:rRNA from 1 species